rnacentral:rRNA from 1 species
GACGAACGCUGGCGGCGCGCUUAACACAUGCAAGUCGAGCGAAGCGGCGGACGGGUGCGUUACACGUGAGUAACCUGCCUUAGACAUUGGGAUAGUCUCGGGAAACCGGGAUUUAUACCAAAUUGUCUAAGCUGGACUGGGGUCUCAUUAGCUAGUUGGUGAGGGAACGGCCCACCAAGGCGACGAUGGGUAGCCGGCCUGAGAGGGUGAACGGCCACAUUGGAACUGAGACACGGGCCAAACUCGACGGGAGGCAGCAGUGGGGAAUAUUGCACAAUGGGGGGAACUCUGAUGCAGCGACGCCGCGUGAUCGAAGAAGGCUUUCGAGUGGUAAAGUUCUUUUAUAUGGGAGGCGUUACCAUAAGAAAAAGCCCCGGUUAACUAGUUGCCAGCGGCGGCGGAAUUU